ACUGCUGAUGGUGUUAAUGGACUUAAUUCCCUCUUUGUCUUUGGCUUUCAAGAAAAGAAGAAGAAUACAAAUAGAAUGUUUGUGGGAGCACAGAGCCGUGGUGGGAGCUAUAGAAGAGUUAAACAGUCUGUUCCAAAUGUGUGAAAUAUUUGAGGCCAGAGCCAGCCUUCAUAACCACACAUAUGCAAGUUUUGCUUGUGCAGGUGUUAACCUGCCAUCAGCAACAAUCUCAGGAUCAUCGCUUGGAUAAAAAGAAUCCCAUUGCUUUGGAAAAAACUACCGAUGUCAAUCGAGUUACGGAUCUCUCUGUUUCUCCUUUCUUUAAAUGUCAUCGUGUCCUACGCCCAUGCCACGUGAAUUUGGGGAUAUUCACGAGGACACCCUUUUUCCUAUAUUCCGUCUGGCGUAAUUUAACUCUUCAGCGGAUGGAUGGAGCAACUGUAGAUGCCUGGCUGUAUUUCCCAGGCAUAUAAAGGGGGAAAUUCUUCCAAUCUCCAAGGGUUGUUGAUGCAAUGCCCUCCGGCACAUCUCGACAUGGCGGUAUACUGUGUGUGAAUACAGAGAUUAGAUCCUCCCCUUUAAUCGCAGGAGCUGCUGCUGGUGCUCUCCGUGUGCCAACUGUUGCUGUCGGCUUAUACACAAGUGAACACACAUAUGCGCCAAGAGUCUAUAUGUGUAGUCGAAUUUUCUACCUGGAAAUAUAAUAAGGUAGCCAGCCCAUCAUAUACCUGUUUCUUGUGCGAGUAUGGUCGUUCCUUUUUGACUGGAGGCAGCCAGCCAGCCAGCCAGCAGCCAGCAGUGCAUGACCAUUUAAAGUCAUAGACUCGUUUCUCUCCUUCGUCCUUGCUCCUUUCCAACGUCAUCCUCUUGGAAAAAUAAAAAAGCUUCUCGUCUUCCAUCCUUAUAAGCCCAGCUCAAUAUCACCUGCCGUUGGUCUGCAGAGAAAAAUCAGACGUGUGGCACCCGGCUGUCCUUAUGCCUUUCAGACAAAUGACAUCAGAAUCAAAUGUUUAAACAAAAUGUUAUUAUUACUUGAAUUUUGUUUUGACUAUGAAUCUAUACGGUUGAAUUGUCUAAUGUUACAUGGGCCUGUGGGUGGUCCUUAUCGCAGCUGUUAUUCAAUCGCCAUAUAACUAUAUAAGAUAUGUCAACAGACCAAUUUCGCAAUCACUUGUGGCUCGUGCCAACCCGAUGUGAUUCGCUCGAUGACUCGUCAAUUGGUUUGUUUUCAUCGUCAAGAAUUUAAAAAAAGAAAUGCGCCAUCGAUCUGUCAUUUUACAUUUGACUCUCCUUUGAAAGUCACCAUAAGAAAAAGAGUCUGUCCAUUGUAAAUGCAACUCACGUCCAUAGCUCUUCUACAUUUCAAAUGAAACAUCCUUGUGAAGAAUUAAACGCGCAGACGAAACAUUUUUGCCCCUCGU